CAUGAUGAUUUGACGCUGAUACCAGUAACGAGUGAGCGUUGAUGUGACGGGUCGAGAAGAGAGAUAAAAAAGUGUGCAUGCUGGACGAUCAGCUCUAGACUGUCAGGAGGCCUGAAUUCGACAUCAUGGAUUCUCAUCAGCUUGUUGAGACCGCGUCUCAGAACAGCCAGGACAUAACCAUUCAGCAAAAACCAGCCAGCAGCACCCCGAGACACAGCAUCGACGCCAUCCUCGGACUUGCUGGACGGAAAAGGACCGCGCAGGAUAUGGAGGAGGGAUCGAGGGAGCAGGAAAAUAACGGAGAGAACAGUUGCAAUUCGACGGGCGGUGGAAGCGACGAGGAAUUGGGGACCGGAUGCGGAUCUGACGACCUAACUGGAAGUAGUGGCAAGAAAAAGCAUCGGCGCAACAGGACGACCUUCACAACCUUCCAGCUACACGAACUCGAAAGAGCUUUUGAGAAGUCUCACUACCCGGACGUCUACUCGAGAGAGGACCUGGCGAUGAAGGUCAAUCUGCCGGAGGUCCGGGUUCAGGUCUGGUUUCAAAACCGUCGAGCAAAAUGGCGACGGCAGGAGAAAAUGGAAGCCGCUAGACUCGGCCUCACUGAAUAUCAUCACGCUGCUGCCACCAUGAGAAACGUCGGCGGUUCGGGACUCGGACUUCCGGGCGAUCCGUGGCUGCCACAUUCCCCGUCAAUUUUGCCUGCGCUCCCCGGCUUCCUGGCUGCACCUCACGCCGGCUAUUCCAGCUAUUUGACAUCCCCUAGGCGCCUUCCGUCGCCCCCGGAAGCGGGCAUCAUACUCAAUACAUUCCGAGGUCUAUCCUCGAUGAGUGAGCUUAGCUUACGCGCCUGUCAGUACAACUCCUUGUUGGCCGCCGAGUUACAGGACAGCGGCGGACGUUAAAGGGAGGCCUGGGAGCCACGUGAGAGAUCGACCUAGAUGACGAGACCAACACAGAAUGUCAACAAUUAAACAAUUAGAAAAAAUCCCGGACGAACAAUCCGACACAUGAGACCGCCGAACGGUGGCCUCUCGUUACUGGGAGGCGGUGGAGGCAGCGAUGGCGGGUCUUCGUCGUUGGUCGGUGGAGGUGGAAACGGAAGAGGAAGCGGCGAGCAAUCGGG